UACAGAGGUCCCAAGCGUUGUUCGGAUUCACUGGGCGUAAAGGGUGCGUAGGUGGUCGGGUAAGUCUGAUGUGAAAUCUCGGAGCUUAACUCCGAAACUGCAUUGGAUACUAUCCGGCUUGAGGGUCGGAGGGGAGACUGGAAUUCUUGGUGUAGCAGUGAAAUGCGUAGAUAUCAAGAGGAACACCAGUGGCGAAGGCGAGUCUCUAGACGACUCCUGACACUGAGGCACGAAAGCCAGGGGAGCAAACAGG
rnacentral:rRNA from 1 species